CAGCUGGUUCAGUCCCAACUGAUGGCAAGCAAAGACCUUCGCAACCUAAUUGUUGCAAAACAUAACGAUGGCAUUGGUUACAGGAGCAUUUCUAAGCUUCUGAAUGUUCCAGUGAGCACUGUUGGGGCCAUAAUACAGAAGUGGAAAGAUAAUCAUUUCACCAGCUAAGGACCACUCGUGGAGAGCUUCAAAAAGACCUGGAAUUAGCAGGAACUGUUGUCUCAAAGAAAACAAGCCACCCACCUUCAUGUCAGCCCAAAAGACACAUCAAAGCCUCCCGGGCCAUAAUCUGUGUGGCCCGGGAGACAUGAAAGCAGAGCAAAUGAGGCGUCUGGCAACUGUCCGCAUCACAUGGGAAACACGGCCGGUCCAGAAAAGGUCAGAGGGUUGUUCCCGUGAGCCGACAUCAGACCUGCCACACCUCCGCUGACCCCCUGCGACCUGUCUCCACCGGACCAGUGCCGCUAGUUCCAGUGAGACGAGCACCAGCUCCUUCACCUGAGGCGUCAGGGUCAUAAGCUGCGCGCGGACGCUCCGGGCCUCCUCGUCCUGCUCCUCCACCCUGU